AUUGAACGCUGGCGGAAUGCUUUACACAUGCAAGUCGAACGGCAGCACGGGGCAACCUGGUGGCGAGUGGCGAACGGGUGAGUAAUACAUCGGAACGUGCCCAAUCGUGGGGGAUAACGUAGCGAAAGUUACGCUAAUACCGCAUACGAUCUACGGAUGAAAGCGGGGGAUCGCAAGACCUCGCCGGAAUGGAGCGGCCGAUGGCAGAUUAGGUAGUUGGGGGGGUAAAGGCUCACCAAGCCGACGAUCUGUAGCUGGUCUGAGAGGACGACCAGCCACACUGGGACUGAGACACGGCCCAGACUCCUACGGGAGGCAGCAGUGGGGAAUUUUGGACAAUGGGCGCAAGCCUGAUCCAGCCAUUCCGCGUGCAGGAUGAAGGCCUUCGGGUUGUAAACUGCUUUUGUACGGAACGAAACGGUUCUCUCUAAUACAGGGGGCUAAUGACGGUACCGUAAGAAUAAGCACCGGCUAACUACGUGCCAGCAGCCGCAGUAAUAC
rnacentral:rRNA from 1 species